rnacentral:tRNA from 1 species
UGCCCGCCUUGGGGCUCGAACCCAAGACCACAAGGUAAUGAGCCUCUAUGGUGUGCUACCUGGGCAGUCCUACCUUUCCAAACAGUGAUCUCAGCCCCACUCGUCCUAAAUCGUGGGGCUAGGAUGGCUGCAGGAAAGGCAAGUUUACUCAGGUAGCAAACAAACCAUGUGCUAAGAACAUUGAGCUCUACCAACUGAGCUAGGCGGGC